rnacentral:tRNA from 1 species
GCUGGGGAUAUAGCUCAGUUGGUAGAGUGCUUGCCUUGCAUGCACAAGGCCCUGGGUUCAAUCCCCAGCACAACA